rnacentral:rRNA from 1 species
AUUGAACGCUGGCGGCGUGCUUAACACAUACAAGUCGAUCGGUAACAGGUGUAGCAAUACAUGCUGACGAGAGGCGGACGGGUGAGGAAUAUUUGGGAAUCUGCCCAUCAGCGGGGGACAACCCGGGGAAACCCGGGCUAAUACCGCAUACGCUCUACGCAGGAAAGCAGGGGACCGCAAGGCCUGGCACUGAUGGAUGAGCCGAAAUCGGAUUAGCUAGUUGGCGGGGUAACGGCCCACCAAGGCGACGAUCCGUAGCUGGUCUGAGAGGACGAUCAGCCACACCGGAACUGAGACACGGUCCGGACUCCUACGGGAGGCAGCAGUGGGGAAUAUUGGACAAUGGGGAAACCCUGAUCCAGCGACGCCGCGUGGGUGAAGAAGGCCUGCGGGUUGUAAAGCCCUUUCGGUAGGGACGAAAGCUCUUGCUCUAAUAAUGCAAGAGGUUGACUUAACCUACAUAAGAAGCACCGGCUAACUCUGUGCCAGCCGCCGCCGUAA